GCCCAAACCUCAGCCCACCCCCGCGUAUCUCCCGUUAUAUAACAAAAUAAAACAUUUUACCCAUUAAGUAACGGCGAUUAAAAAAUGACUAGGAGCCACAACAACAGUACCGCAAGGGAACUAUGAAAUAUCGUGAAAAAUUUAAGCACAAUAAAGCAGAGCUUCAACCUCGUACCUUUUGCAUCAUGGUCUAGCCAGUCUAAUCAAGCAAAACGCGCUUUAAGUUUGACCCCCCGAAACCAGGCGAGCUACUUCUAAACAGCCACAAGCCAACCCUUCUCCGUCGCAAAGGAGUGGGAAGAUUUAAAAGUAGAGGCGACACACCUACCGAGCCUGGAGAUAGCUGGUUAUUUAGGAAAAGGAUUUAAGUCCACCUCUAAGUUUUUUUAGCAUACUCAGACAAAAAUAAACUUACAAGUCAUUCAAAUAAGGUACAGCCUACUUGAAUAAGGAAACAGCCUACAACACAGGGUAAUGUUCACCCCCGUGACUAGGUGGGCCUAAAAGCAGCCAACCCUCAAAAAGCGUCCAAGCUUCAUCACUACAACAAUUAAUCCCAUCAUUAACCCACAACCCCCAACCACUACUAAAUAACCCCAUACACAUAUGGGAGAUAUUAUGCUAGAACUAGUAACAAGAAGAAGCACUUCUCCUAGAUAAAAGCUUAAGCCACAGUGAACCGUUCGCCGGCAAUUACCGCCACUAACCCACGGUAGCAACACUACAAGAAAACCCUACCACACUAAGCGUUAACCUAACACCAGAUUAUCGCAGGAAAGAUUAAAAAGGGGGGAAGGAACUCGGCAAAUAUCAGCUCCGCCUGUUUACCAAAAACACCGCCUCUUGAUAAACCAUAAGAGGUCCAGCCUGCCCAGUGACAAAGUUAAACGGCCGCGGUACCCUAACCGUGCAAAGGUAGCAUAAUCACUUGUUCUCUAAAUCAGGACUAGUAUGAACGGCCCCACGAGAGCUGUACUGUCUCCCCCCCUCAAUCAGUGAAACUGAUCCCCCCGUGAAGAAGCGGGGACAUCCCCAUAAGACGAGAAGACCCCAUGGAGCUUUAAACUUACACCACUGCUUUCCCCCACCAAAUAAUUUAUGCAAUAUGGUACUAAGUCUUUCGGCUGGGGCGACCGCGGAGAAAAACAAAACCUCCAUGAUGAAAGGACACCCUAAUUAAAGAGCUACUGCUCUAAAAAUCAACAAAUUGACAUAAAUUGACCCAAAUUUUUUUGAUCAACGAACCUAGUUACCCUGGGGAUAACAGCGCAAUCCAUUUCGAGAGACCCCAUCAACAAAUGGGCUUACGACCUCGAUGUUGGAUCAGGGUAUCCUGGUGGUGCAGCCGCUACCAAGGGUUCGUUUGUUCAACGAUUAAAACCCU
rnacentral:rRNA from 1 species